GAGUCACCAUUCACAAUGAAUUUUGGUUCAGCAUCUGGUUAGUACACUAACAUAUAUUAUAUGGUUAACAACUUUAUUUACUUUAUAUUAUUAUGACAUCUAAUAGCUAAGAAGUAUGACAUGUAAUCUGUAAAUAUUUCUUCUUAUUAUAUAAUGGCUAAGAAGUAUGACAUGUAAUCUGUAAAUAUGCACCAAUACAUUAGUGACACUUUUUUUAUAUGAUAAAAUUUAGAUUUGUAUUUGUUUUGAUUACUACUAAGAUUUGUUAUUGAUGUUAUGUUAUUUUUGUUAUUCAUUAGAUAUUGAUUAUGACAAGUAUGUUAUUUGGAAUAAUUCUGAACAAUUAAAAUACAUAAUUUUUUUGUUAGCUUGAAAUCAUUUUUAUAUUUUGUUGUUUGAUAACUUCAAUAUGUAUCAGUGAUGUAUUCACAAUAUACACAUGAUACAAUUAUGUAUACAUUUUUGUAUGGUAAUUUUCAGAUGUAUUUUAUAAAUACAUCUAUUUUAUUAUUAUGAAAUAUCAUUGCCUUUUUAAUUUAUUUUUGGUAUUUUUUUUUUUUUAUACUUUUCACAACUUAACAAUAAAUGAGGCACAAAAGAGGAGCGCAAAAUAUUCAAUCAAAAGCAUCCAUUCGUAUCUCAUUCGAUUAAUGAUAUAGAAGACACUAAGGUUACCAACAAGUUCCCGAAGUGUCUUUCUAUGUACCUUCUUAAAUUUCAUGCGAAGAGGUAUAUACGUUAGGACCUAAUUGUAAUAAUAUUUAAAUAUAAGUUUUUGUUAAUGAUGAGUCACUAUAUUUAAUGAUUGAACAGAAGCAACAAUGAAGAACACUAUAAGAAGGGCAAGUCCAAAAUACCAGUAAUCAAUUUUGGAGUUUUAUUUGUGAAAAACAAGAAUUGGUUCUACAUUAUGGGCACUCCGGGACAAUGAUGGUUUGAUGAGGUAAGUUUUGUACUAUUAAGUGAAAUUUUUUUAUAUUUGGAACGAAACUUAUUUCAACGUUACAUACGUAUAUUCGUAUAUACAUAUGUAAAUGCUUGUUAUGAUGUAGUUGCAUAUGUAUAUUUUUAUAUACAUAUACUGUUAUUCUAUAUGUUUUUAUAUAUGUAUAUGGUAUUACAUAUGUAGUGUUACCUGCAAUGAGUUUUAAUUUUAUUAUUUAAUUUUAAAUAUGAAUUUUAUUGUAAUGCAGCAAAUUGAUGUAUGCUUCUACUAUCUGCGAAAGAAACCUAAGUAUGAUCCAAAUAGUUCAUACAAGUACUACACUGUUGACUGCAAUUUCAUGAACAUUAUAAACAGUGUGCUAGAUGUGUAUAGAAUUGAUGAUGCAUCUCUUAAUGCUCGUGGAAAGGAAUACCAUCUGAAUGAGUACAUAAAUGAAUUCCGCAUGCAUGCUACAGUGUCUUGGCAUACGGUUGAUCAUAUUUUCAUUUCUGUCAACGUGAAGUCCAAACAUAAUUGGGUUCUUGCGGUUAUAUCUUUCAAUGAUAGAUGCAUUUAUGUAUAUGAUUCUUUGUCGUCUGCUGGUCAUGAUGCUUGCUGAAGUUGAAAAGUUAUCUGAGGUUAUACCUAUAUGUCUCGUUGUAUGUAAAUUUUAUGAGAAGAAGGGUAUUGAUAUUGCUAAUCAUCCAAAUUACAAAUCCUAUGAUAAGAUGGAUCUAUUUGAUGUUUAUAUUGUGGAGGAUUCGCCUCAACAACCAAGUGGCAGCUUGUAAGUAAUGAAUAUGUAUAUUAAUUGUAUAUAUACAUAUAUAUUAUUUUUAUAGAACAGAUUCUUACUUCUUUAAAUAUGUAUUUGUAGGAAUUGUGGUUUAUAUAUGGUGACAUAUGCCGAAUGUCUUAUUUUUGGUAAUCUUGUUCCACGCAUUGAUUUUGAUCCAGAUCUGAUUCGUACGAGAUAUGCUUCAAUUUUGUGGGAUUAUGUAUGAAGAAAGAAAAAGAGAAGGCAUAAAGUGAUGAUGAAACACCAAUGAGAACUCCUCGUGAAUUUGGUAUAAUAGAAGAUACUGAAGUGCAUGAAAUUUGAU
rnacentral:lncRNA from 1 species